rnacentral:rRNA from 1 species
GGACCACUCUAAACGGCCGCAGAAUUUUAACUGUGCUAAGGUAGCAUAAUCAUUUGUCUUUUAAUUGAAGACCGGUAUGAAUGGCUUAACGAAAUUUUACUGUCUCACCUAUAUUAGCUAUAAUUUAAUCUUAAAGUUAAAAAGCUUUAAUUAUAUAAAAAGACAAAAAGACCCUAUAGAGUUUUAUUUUCUUUAUUUUAAUAAACUAAAAGAAAAUUUUGUUGGGGCAACUAAGAAAAAAAUAAUUUUUCUUAAAUAAAAACUAUAAUAAACUAUCAUUUACUAAAUAAAAUAAAAUAAAUUACCUUAGGGAUAACAGCGUAACUUUCUUUGAGAGCCCAAAUCGAAAAGAAAAAUUAC